rnacentral:rRNA from 1 species
GUGAACGCUGGCGGUAGGCCUAACACAUGCAAGUCGAACGGCAGCACAGUAAGAGCUUGCUCUUCCGGGUGGCGAGUGGCGGACGGGUGAGGAAUACAUCGGAAUCUACUUUUUCGUGGGGGAUAACGUAGGGAAACUUACGCUAAUACCGCAUACGACCUACGGGUGAAAGCAGGGGAUCUUCGGACCUUGCGCGAUUGAAUGAGCCGAUGUCGGAUUAGCUAGUUGGCGGGGUAAAGGCCCACCAAGGCGACGAUCCGUAGCUGGUCUGAGAGGAUGAUCAGCCACACUGGAACUGAGACACGGACCAGACUCCUACGGGAGGCAGCAGUGGGGAAUAUUGGACAAUGGGCGCAAGCCUGAUCCAGCCAUACCGCGUGGGUGAAGAAGGCCUUCGGGUUGUAAAGCCCUUUUGUUGGGAAAGAAAAGCAGCAGGUUAAUACCCCGCUGUUCUGACGGUACCCAAAGAAUAAGCACCGGCUAACUUCGUG